UACAGAGGUCCCAAGCGUUGUUCGGAUUCACUGGGCGUAAAGCGCACGUAGGCGGAUUGUUAAGUCAGGGGUGAAAUCCUGGAGCUCAACUCCAGAACUGCCUUUGAUACUGACGGUCUUGAGUUCGGGAGAGGUGAGGGGAACUGCGAGUGUAGAGGUGAAAUUCGUAGAUAUUCGCAAGAACACCAGUGGCGAAGGCGGCUCACUGGCCCGAUACUGAAGCUGAGGUGCGAAAGCGUGGGGAGCAAACAGG
rnacentral:rRNA from 1 species